rnacentral:lncRNA from 1 species
UGAAAGCCAAGAUCAACUUAUUCUACUGAAAGCCAAGAUCAACUUAUAAAACUUGCCGCCAUGUUUUCACAUUUGUUCCUUUCCACCCAUCCGGUUCACCAGUUGUUUCUAGUGAAAGCCAAGAUCAACUUAUUCUACUGAAAGCCAAGAUCAACUUAUAAAACUUGCUGCCAUGUUUUCACAUUUGUUCCUUUCCACCCAUCUUCCAAAACCUUCAAUUUGUAUUCAAAUAUUCUCAACUCCCAAGGGUUAAAAUCUCAAUACAAGACCUUGUCCUGGUUUGCUUCUAGGAUGGUGAGGUACCAGGAUGGUACGAUCAAGACAUCCCGAAACUGCCGAUUGCAUACCAAUUGCAUCCCCAAUGUCAAGACCUGAUGGAGAUGGUUGGAAAUGGGAUAUCCUAGUUCAAGAGAAUUGGUGUCUUGCAAGUAUCUUAGGUCCCAGUUUUUUUAUCAGAAUGGUAUAAUAUCAAUGCUAUCAUCCCAUUCCAACGGGAUUUAAAUUUUUUCCAAUCAUUAUUCCAACACUCUGACUUGUAUCUAAAAUACUUAACAGUUGUCAUUCAAUAUAUCCUUAAAUUUAUGCAAAUGAUUCAAAAACCAUGUCAGUACCCUGUAACGGUCAAUGACCAGCUAAGCAUUGUACCAUAUUUGUCAUACCAGCACUAUCCGUGCCCCAAUAAUUUGCAAGGACACAAUUUUCU